CAAUGUUGAGGAGAUGCUCCCUAUAGUUUACACUCCUACUGUUGGUGAGGCAUGCCAGAAAUAUGGAAGGAUCUUUGGUCGUCCUCAGGGUCUUUACAUCAGUUUCAAAGAAAAGGGUAGAAUUCUUGAAGUAUUAAGGAACUGGCCUGAGAAGAAUAUUCAAGUCAUUGUUGUUACUGACGGUGAACGUAUAUUGGGGUUAGGGGACCUUGGAUGUCAGGGUAUGGGGAUACCCGUUGGGAAACUCUCUUUAUACACAGCACUUGGUGGAGUCCGUCCUUCAGCUUGCCUGCCUGUGACAAUUGACGUGGGAACCAACAAUGAGAAGCUGCUAAACGAUGAAUUCUACAUAGGGCUCAGACAAAGAAGAGCUACUGGACAGGAAUAUUC
rnacentral:misc_RNA from 1 species